rnacentral:rRNA from 1 species
CGCCUGGGGAGUACGGGUGAGGUAACGGCUCACCAAGGCAUCGACGGGUAGCUGGUCUGAGAGGAUGAUCAGCCACACUGGGACUGAGACACGGCCCAGACUCCUACGGGAGGCAGCAGUAGGGAAUAUUGCACAAUGGGCGAAAGCCUGAUGCAGCAACGCCGCGUGCGGGAAGAAGGCCCUAGGGUUGUAAACCGCUUUCAGCAGGGAAGAAAAUGACGGUACCUGCAGAAGAAGGUGCGGCCAACUACGUGCCAGCAGCCGCGGUGACACGUAGGCACCAAGCGUUGUCCGGAUUUAUUGGGCGUAAAGAGCUCGUAGGCGGUUCAGUUAGUCGGGUGUGAAAACUCUGGGCUCAACCCAGAGACGCCACUCAAUACUGCUGUGACUAGAGUGCGGUAGGGGAGCGGGGAAUUCCUAGUGUAGCGGUGAAAUGCGCAGAUAUUAGGAGGAACACCAGUGGCGAAGGCGGCACUCUGGGCCGGUACUGACGCUGAGGAGCGAAAGCAUGGGGAGCAAACAGGAUUAGAUACCCUGGUAGUCCAUGCCGUAAACGUUGGGCACUAGGUAUGGGAUCAUAUCAACGGAUUCCGUGCCGUAGCUAACGCAUUAAGUGCCCCGCCUGGGGAGUACGG